GGCUUGAUAUUAGAAUGGAGAAGAAUCACUAAUGCUAUUACUAAAGUGGUCUUUCCUCUGCAGCGGGAAAAGCGUCUAAAUCUUUUUCUUGGAAUGGAAAGAAUCUAUCCUGUAUCACAGUCACACACUACUACAGGAUGAAUAACCUUUACAGAACCAAAUAUUCAGAAUGUGCCAAGAGAUUUUGAGAUCAAAAUGACAACACUAGUAGGAGAGAGUCCACCUUCCCAAGCCCUACUUCCCAUGAACAGGUAGAUGCUAUUUCUCUUUAUUUGUGUUAUAUACUUUUGUGAGUAUGAAAGCCUCAAAAU
rnacentral:lncRNA from 1 species